UGCCCUCGCGGCCUUGCCUAAAGACUAAAGUUGCCUCCCCGUUAUCGCUUUACAAGCAAAAAGAAGAAAGCUUUGAAAAUCCAGUUCCAGAAAUUUCUUCUAUUUUUAAGCGUCAAGGGAGAGACAUGAGUUGGUGUUCCCUUUCUACUACUACUUCAAGCUCUAUGAUUCUUCACACUUCCAAUGCGCCAUUGAAGCAAUUAAAGAGCUGGGGCAAAAUUUCUUAUAUCGGCUUGAAGAAGCGCGACAGAAGAAGUCAUAAUCGCUACCCUGCAGGGAAAGUUUGUGCCUAUUACGGCCUCAAAGCGCCUCCGUUUGAACUUGAUGCAUUAGAGCCAUACAUGAGCCGAAGGACACUAGAGAUACACUGGGGUGGGCACCAUCGUAGUUAUGUGGAUGCCCUUAACAAACAGCUUGAGAAGAAUGAUUUACUGUAUGGAUUCACCAUGGAAGAACUUAUUAGAGUGACCUAUAACAAUGGUAAUCCAUUACCUGAAUUCAACAAUGCUGCUCAGGUAUGGAAUCAUGAUUUCUUUUGGGAAUCCAUGCAACCUGGAGGAGGGGAUAUGCCUACAUUGAGUCUACUAAAGCAGAUUGAAAAGGAUUUUGGCUCAUUCACAAAUUUCAGAGAGAAGUUCGUAGAAGUAGCCCUCACAUCAUUUGGCUCUGGUUGGGUUUGGCUUGUUUUGAAGAGUGAGGAGAAACGUCUUGCUGUUGUUAGAACAUCAAAUGCUGUCAACCCUCUUUUGUGGAAUGACAUUCCUCUCAUCUGUUUGGAUAUGUGGGAACACGCUUAUUAUAUUGAUUACCAGAAUGAUAAAGCCAAGUAUGUUAACAUGUUCAUGAAUCACCUUGUUUCUUGGCAAUCUGCAUUGGUACGCAUGGCUCGCGCACAGGCAUUUGUGAACUUAGGAGAACCCAAAAUUCCUGUUGCAUGACACUCCUCCAACUUUAUCGGGGUGUUUGGUUGCAAGGAAGGAAUUAAGGAGGAAAAUAAUUAUAAUUCCAUUGGAGAAGAAUAAUGAGAGAAUAAACCCAAAAAGUCAAUACCCCACUCCUGGGGAUUCGAUCCUGUGACCUUUCCUCAAUGAGAGCCACAGAGAAGUGUCAACUAAACACUAAGGUGCUUAGUGCAAUUGUGUAAUUUAUGUGUGUAGAAAGUAGAGUUGUGUAAUUUUUUUUUUAAAUGUACGUAAUAACUAGGCAUAUUGCUACUUCUGUUGUGAUGAAAUGAAACUAAAAACAAAGUGGAAACAA